GUAGUCCACGCCGUAAACUAUGGAUGCUAGCUGUUAGAGGUAUCGACCCCUCUAGUAGCGAAGCUAACGCGUUAAGCAUCCCGCCUGUGGAGUACGGUCGCAAGACUAAAACAUAAAGGAAUUGACGGGGACCCGCACAAGCGGUGGAGCGUGUUGUUUAAUUCGAUGGUAAGCGAAGAACCUUACCCAGGCUUGACAUCCUUGGAAGCACUGCGAAAGCAGAGUGUGCCUUCGGGAACCAAGUGACAGGUGUUGCAUGGCCGUCGUCAGCUCGUGUCGUGAGAUGUUUGGUUAAGUCCAUCAACGAGCGCAACCCUUGUGAUUAGUUGAAUUUUUCUAAUCAGACUGCCCUGGUAACAGGGA
rnacentral:rRNA from 1 species